rnacentral:rRNA from 1 species
GGUAUCUACCCUUUGGCCUGGAAUACACGAGGAAACUUGUGCUAAUACCGGAUAAGUCUUUACAGAGAAAGCUUUAUGCACCAUUGGAUGAGCCUGCACUUGAUUAGUUUGUUGGUGGGGUAAUGGCCUACCAAGACUUUGAUCAAUAGCUGAUUUGAGAGGAUGAUCAGCCACAUUGGGACUGAGACACGGCCCAAACUCCUACGGGAGGCAGCAGUGGGGAAUCUUGCACAAUGGAGGAAACUCUGAUGCAGCGAUGCCGCGUGAGUGAAGAAGGCCUUUGGGUUGUAAAGCUCUUUCGUCGGGGAAGAAAAUGACUGUACCCGAAUAAGAAGGUCCGGCUAACUUCGUGCCAGCAGCCGCGGUAAUACGAAGGGACCUAGCGUAGUUCGGAAUUACUGGGCUUAAAGAGUUCGUAGGUGGUUGAAAAAGUUGGUGGUGAAAGCCCAGAGCUUAACUCUGGAACUGCCAUCAAAACUUUUCAGCUAGAGUUUGAUAGAGGAAAGCAGAAUUUCUAGUGUAGAGGUGAAAUUCGUAGAUAUUAGAAAGAAUACCAAUUGCGAAGGCAGCUUUCUGGAUCAUUACUGACGCUGAGGAACGAAAGCAUGGGUAGCGAAGAGGAUUAGAUACCCUCGUAGUCCAUGCCGUAAACGAUGUGUGUUAGACGUUGGGAAUUUAUUUUCAGUGUCGCAGUGAAAACGAUAAACACACCGCCUGGGGAGUACGACCGCAAGGUUAAAACUCAAAUGAAUUGACGGGGACCCGCACAAGUAGUGGAGCAUGUGGUUUAAUUCGAAGAUACGCGCAGAACCUUACCAACACUUGACAUGUUCGUCGCGACUCUGAGAGAUUAGAGUUUUCGGUUCGGCCGGACGAAACACAGGUGCUGCAUGGCUGUCGUCAGCUCGUGUCGUGAGAUGUUGGGUUAAAGUCCCGCAACGAGCGCA